UCCCGAAAUGUCAGUUACACGCUUAAACUAUCAUGACGACCUAUUACACACUCAUUCUUGUUAAAACUGUAACUAAUACCACCUCAGAACUGACGUGGAAAUUUAAUUAAAUUAAAAAAUAAAAUAGGCGCGUUAGAGUCGAAAAUAAAGUCAAAAAAAAUAAAUUUUUGACCCCCACCCCCCCACUAUUCUCCUUCUUCGUGCUCAUCUUUUCUUAUUCUCCUUUAGAGUUCUUCUUCUUAAUUUUUUCUUGUCACAAUUCUACAAUUUCUCACUCAAUUUCAUCAUUACUUGAGAAUUCUCCACUAAUUUCUACCGAUUCACCAAGAAAAGUAAUUUGCUAAUCUAUAUUUUACAACCCAGUAACAUCAAAAGAACAUUGAAGUGUCUAACCCCUAAAUCCCCAAACCAUUAAUACCUAGAAAAGUUAAUUGUUCCCACCCCCAUAUAUCAAAAUUAUAAAUUUUACACAACAUUGCAAAUUUGAUAGAGCAGGGGUUUGGGUUCAAUGACGAUUUAUACAUAGCAAAAUCAAAAUUGGCUCGACAAUAUAAAAUUGAUCGGUAUCAAACUAAAAUAUUUAUUUCAAGUUUCACAACCCAUUACCAUCAAAACACUAAUAACUAAAAAAAAAUUCAAAACAAAACAUUACCAGUUAAGGUUCAUUUGACUCAUAUUUGAAAAACCCAGAAGAAAGGAAGGUGUUUAAAUAGGGCUAAGAAGCUAAGAAAGAUAAGUAUUGGGUUUAAAAUUCAUAUCAGUGAUGAUAACAAGUGGGAUGAAAUCGUAUUGGGUAAUAACUUUGAUUUAAUUUGAUAUCCAUGUCCCCACUCCUUCAGGAACAUUCCAAAUCGUUGCUACUCCGUCGAUUAACUUGUCUGUCGCAAUAGUUUGUAUUGUAUAUGUUAUAAUCAGAAGAAAUAAUUGAAAAUGGAGUCAUUCAGGUGAGGAAGAAGAGAAGAAAAUAAAGAAAAAAAUGGUGUCAUUCAAGUGAGGAAGAAGAGAGAAG
rnacentral:lncRNA from 1 species